rnacentral:rRNA from 1 species
CUUUAUACCGUGGAACUGCGAAUGGCUCAUUAAAUCAGUUAUCGUUUAUUUGAUAGUACCUUUACCUGGAUAACCGUGGUAAUUCUAGAGCUAAUACAUGCUAAAAACCUCGACUUCGGAAGGGGUGUAUUUAUUAGAUAAAAAACCAAUGCCCUUCGGGGCUCCUUGGUGAUUCAUAAUAACUUAACGAAUCGCAUGGCCUUGCGCCGGCGAUGGUUCAUUCAAAUUUCUGCCCUAUCAACUUUCGAUUGUAAGAUAGAGGCUUACAAUGGUCUUAACGGGUGACGGGGAAUUAGGGUUCUAUUCCGGAGAGGGAGCCUGAGAAACGGCUACCACAUCCAAGGAAGGCAGCAGGCGCGCAAAUUACCCAAUCCCGACACGGGGAGGUAGUGACAAUAAAUACUGAUACGGGGCUCUUUCGGGUCUCGUAAUUGGAAUGAGUACAAUCUAAAUCCCUUAACGAGGAACAAUUGGAGGGCAAGUCUGGUGCCAGCAGCCGCGGUAAUUCCAGCUCCAAUAGCGUAUAUUAAAGUUGUUGCCGUUAAAAAGCUCGUAGUUGAACCUUGGACCUGGCUGAUCUGUCCUCCUAAUCGAGCGCACGGAUUCGGUCGGGUCUUUCCUUCUGGGGAACCUCAUGCCCUUCACUGGGUGUGCUGGGGAACCAGGACUUUUACCUUGAAAAAAUUAGAGUGUUCAAAGCAGGCCUUUGCUCGAAUACAUUAGCAUGGAAUAAUAGAAUAGGACAUCGGUUCUAUUUUGUUGGUUUCUAGGACCGCUGUAAUGAUUAAUAGGGAUAGUCGGGGGCGUCAGUAUUCAAUUGUCAGAGGUGAAAUUCUUGGAUUUAUUGAAGACUAACUACUGCGAAAGCAUUCGCCAAGGAUGUUUUCAUUAAUCAGUGAACGAAAGUUAGGGGAUCGAAGACGAUCAGAUACCGUCGUAGUCUUAACCAUAAACUAUGCCGACUAGGGAUCGGACGGUGGUUUUUUUAUGCCCCGUUCGGCACCUUACGAGAAAUCAAAGUGUUG